rnacentral:rRNA from 1 species
AUUGAACGCUGGCGGCAUGCCUUACACAUGCAAGUCGAACGGCAGCACGGGUGCUUGCACCUGGUGGCGAGUGGCGAACGGGUGAGUAAUACAUCGGAACAUGUCCUGUAGUGGGGGAUAGCCCGGCGAAAGCCGGAUUAAUACCGCAUACGAUCCACGGAUGAAAGCGGGGGACCUUCGGGCCUCGCGCUAUAGGGUUGGCCGAUGGCUGAUUAGCUAGUUGGUGGGGUAAAGGCCUACCAAGGCGACGAUCAGUAGCUGGUCUGAGAGGACGACCAGCCACACUGGGACUGAGACACGGCCCAGACUCCUACGGGAGGCAGCAGUGGGGAAUUUUGGACAAUGGGCGAAAGCCUGAUCCAGCAAUUCCGCGUGUGUGAAGAAGGCCUUCGGGUUGUAAAGCACUUUUGUCCGGAAAGAAAUCCUUGACUCUAAUACAGUCGGGGGAUGACGGUACCGGAAGAAUAAGCACCGGCUAACUACGUG